ACCAGAUCUCGGUGGAGGAGCUGAACGACCUCCUGGCCAACGGCAGCGGCUGCUACAGCCUCCCCAGCGCGCACAGCAACGAGGUGGUGCCGCGCAUCCACGUGGGGAACGCGAACCAGAUGAAGCUGAUGUUAGCAUCUCUCUGCUAUUUGGAGAAGCUAGCAUUUCAACAUUGAACAUGAUGCAGCUGGAAUGAAAUGUUAAGGAUGAGAGAGAUCCAAGGACUGUUUGGGAAGGGAGAAACAAAUGGCAUACAAAUACAGUCUUUUUCACCUCUAGCUGUGAUUUUUGUGUUGCAAGCAGAAUUCCCCAGACACUGAUACUUGCACCAUGGCACAGAUGAUGUCCUGCCAGAUGGAAAAUCUGUCAACAUUUGUUUGGGUAAUGAAGUCUUACAAAUAAUUGGCUCAUUGCCAUAGUUGCUUGGCACAGACAGCAGAAAAUGUAGAAGCUUCACUCAUGCAUCAGGGUUCAUCUGCUUACACUGAAAUUUAAGGGGUGAAGAGUCAUCAGGAGCAAAGGGACACUCAAGAUGUUUGAAUUACAUGAAAAUUGUGAGUGAAUGCACUCAGAGAUUCGUGUAGCUAUAAACCAACUGAUUUGGGUAUUUACUUUA